UACGAAGGGGGCUAGUGUUACUCGGAUUGACUGGGCGUAAAGGGCGCGUAGGCGGUUCGUACAGUCAGACGUGAAAUUCCUGGGCUCAACCUGGGGGCUGCGUUUGAUACGUGCGGGCUUGAGUUCGGAAGAGGGUCGUGGAAUUCCCAGUGUAGAGGUGAAAUUCGUAGAUAUUGGGAAGAACACCGGUGGCGCAGGCGGCGACCUGGUCCGAUACUGACGCUGAGACGCGAAAGCGUGGGGAGCAAACAGG
rnacentral:rRNA from 1 species